UGCAAGUCGAACGGCAGCACGGGGGCAACCCUGGUGGCGAGUGGCGAACGGGUGAGUAAUACAUCGGAACGUGCCCUGUAGUGGGGGAUAACUAGUCGAAAGAUUAGCUAAUACCGCAUACGACCUGAGGGUGAAAGCGGGGGACCGCAAGGCCUCGCGCUACAGGAGCGGCCGAUGUCUGAUUAGCUAGUUGGCGGGGUAAAAGCCUACCAAGGCGACGAUCAGUAGCUGGUCUGAGAGGACGAUCAGCCACACUGGGACUGAGACACGGCCCAGACUCCUACGGGAGGCAGCAGUGGGGAAUUUUGGACAAUGGGGGCAACCCUGAUCCAGCAAUGCCGCGUGUGUGAAGAAGGCCUUCGGGUUGUAAAGCACUUUUGUCCGGAAAGAAAUGGCUCUGGUUAAUACCCGGGGUCGAUGACGGUACCGGAAGAAUAAGCACCGGCUAACUACGUGCCAGCAGCCGCGGUAAUACGUAGGGUGCGAGCGUUAAUCGGAAUUACUGGGCGUAAAGCGUGCGCAGGCGGUUUUGUAAGACAGGCGUGAAAUCCCCGAGCUCAACUUGGGAAUGGCGCUUGUGACUGCAAGGCUAGAGUAUGUCAGAGGGGGGUAGAAUUCCACGUGUAGCAGUGAAAUGCGUAGAGAUGUGGAGGAAUACCGAUGGCGAAGGCAGCCCCCUGGGACGUCACUGACGCUCAUGCACGAAAGCGUGGGGAGCAAACAGGAUUAGAUACCCUGGUAGUCCACGCCCUAAACGAUGUCAACUAGUUGUUGGGGAUUCAUUUCUUCAGUAACGUAGCUAACGCGUGAAGUUGACCGCCUGGGGAGUACGGUCGCAAGAUUAAAACUCAAAGGAAUUGA
rnacentral:rRNA from 1 species